rnacentral:rRNA from 1 species
ACGCUCGACACCUACGGGAGGCAGCAGUUGGGAAUAUUGGACAAUGGAGGAAACUCUGAUCCAGUGACGCCGCGUGAAGGAAGAAGGUCUUCGGAUUGUAAACUUAUUUUGUCAGGGGAGAAAAAAUGACUGUACCUGAAGAAAAAGCACCGGCUAACACGUGCCUGCAGCCGCGGUAAUCUGAGCGGGCUGGCAACGGC